GCCCGUUUAGCUCAGUUGGUUAGUAGCGUCGUGCUAAUAACGCGAAGGUCGCAGGUUCGACCCCUGCAAUGGGCA